GAAUAGUAAGUCAGUGGUGAAAUCCUGCGGCUCAACCGUAGAACUGCCAUUGAUACUGUUAUUCUUGAAUGUAGUUGAGGUAGGCGGAAUGUGUAAUGUAGCGGUGAAAUGCUUAGAUAUUACACAGAACACCGAUUGCGAAGGCAGCUUGCUAAGCUACGAUUGACGCUGAUGCACGAAAGCGUGGGGAGCGAACAGGAUUAGAUACCCUGGUAGUCCACGCUGUAACCUAUGAUCACUCGUUGUUUGCGAUAUACAGUAAGCGACUGAGCGAAAGCAUUAAGUGAUCCACCUGGGGAGUACGUUGGCAACAAUGAAACUCAAAGGAAUUGACGGGGGCCCGCACAAGCGGAGGAACAUGUGGUUUAAUUCGAUGAUACGCGAGGAACCUUACCUGGGUUUAAAUGUAGGUUGCAUAGAGGGGAAACUCUCUUUUCCUUCGGGACUACCUACAAGGUGCUGCAUGGUUGUCGUCAGCUCGUGCCGUGAGGUGUCGGGUUAAGUCCCAUAACGAGCGCAACCCUUAUCGUUAGUUGCCAUCAGGUCAUGCUGGGGACUCUAACGAGACUGCCGGUGUAAACCGUGAGGAAGGUGGGGAUGACGUCAAAUCAGCACGGCCCUUAUAUCCAGGGCUACACACGUGUUACAAUGGUCGGUACAAAGAGCAGCCACUUGGCGACAAGGCGCUAAUCUCGAAAGCCGAUCACAGUUCGGAUCGGAGUCUGCAACUCGACUUCGUGAAGUUGGAUUCGCUAGUAAUCGC
rnacentral:rRNA from 1 species